rnacentral:rRNA from 1 species
UAACUCUCAACAACGGAUAUCUUGGCUCUCAGAUCGAUGAAGAACGCAGCGAAAUGCGAUACGUAGUGUGAAUUGCAGAAAUACGUGAAUCAUCGAAUCUUUGAACGCAAAUUGCGCUCGAGGCUUCGGCCAAGAGCAUGUCUGUCUCAGCGUCGGGUA